GGGCCCGUAGCUCAGUUGGUUAGAGCAGUCGACUCAUAAUCGAUUGGUCGUCGGUUCAAGUCCGGCCAGGCCCACCA
rnacentral:tRNA from 1 species